rnacentral:rRNA from 1 species
ACAACUUUCAGCAACGGAUCUCUUGGCUCUCGCAUCGAUGAAGAACGCAGCGAAAUGCGAUAAGUAAUGUGAAUUGCAGAAUUCAGUGAAUCAUCGAAUCUUUGAACGCACCUUGCGCUCCUUGGUAUUCCUUGGAGCAUGCCUGUUUGAGUAUCA